rnacentral:rRNA from 1 species
AUACGGAGGGUGCAAGCGUUAAUCGGAAUUACUGGGCGUAAAGGGCACGCAGGUGGCUGAGUGAGUCGGAUGUGAAAGCCCCGGGCUCAACCGGGGAACUGCAUUCGAUACUGGCAGGCUAGAGUAUAGUAGAGGAAAGUGGAAUUCCGGGUGUAGCGGUGAAAUGCGUAGAUAUCCGGAGGAACAUCAGUGGCGAAGGCGACUUGCUGGACUAAUACUGACGCUGAGGAGCGAAAGCGUGGGGAGCAAACGGGAUUAGAAACCCCAGUAGUCC